UUUAAAUUUAGAGUUUGAUCCUGGCUCAGGACGAACGCUGGCGGCGUGCUUAACACAUGCAAGUCGAGCGAUGAAACUUCCUUCGGGAAGUGGAUUAGCGGCGGACGGGUGAGUAACACGUGGGUAACCUGCCUCAAAGUGGGGGAUAGCCUUCCGAAAGGAAGAUU
rnacentral:rRNA from 1 species